rnacentral:lncRNA from 1 species
UCUAGUCAAUCUUAAUCCCUAAUAGUCCAUCCUACCAGCUCAAAGGCAUCUUCAUUUGUCACAUGGUUCCUUUCAGAAAUUCAUGUCCUGCUGAAACUUUUUUCUGACUUUGUUAUCCCUAAUACUAGUUAAAACUUCCACUUAAUUUGGCAUAAGCUCAUAAUGACAUAACCCCUUCAAUAUCAGGUGUUUCUUUCAGAUUAAUAGCCUCAAUCUCAUUUGAAAGUUAACAUUACAG